rnacentral:rRNA from 1 species
UGGGGAAUAUUGGACAAUGGGCGCAAGCCUGAUCCAGCCAUGCCGCGUGAGUGAUGAAGGCCCUAGGGUUGUAAAGCUCUUUCACCGGUGAAGAUAAUGACGGUAACCGGAGAAGAAGCCCCGGCUAACUUCGUGCCAGCAGCCGCGGUAAUACGAAGGGGGCUAGCGUUGUUCGGAUUUACUGGGCGUAAAGCGCACGUAGGCGGACUAUUAAGUCAGGGGUGAAAUCCCGGGGCUCAACCCCGGAACUGCCUUGGAUACUGGUAGUCUUGAGUUCGAGAGAGGUGAGUGGAAUUCCGAGUGUAGAGGUGAAAUUCGUAGAUAUUCGGGGGAACACCAGUGGCGAAGGCGGCUCACUGGCUCGAUACUGACGCUGAGGUGCGAAAGCGUGGGGAGCAAACAGG